rnacentral:lncRNA from 1 species
GUUGUUGCAAGUGAAAGCUUUCACAGCGCUGACAGAAGAAGCGAAGGAACCCGGCAGCUGGGCGUGCUGCACAGCCGGCUUCGGCACAGGGCCGAUUCCCAGCGCUGCGACUUGGAGAAAGUGGGUGAGAAGCCCCGAAGCCGCCGCGGCGCCGCCGCACGCAGCCGCCGCUCGCAGCACAGCGGGAACACGCCCCGCCGCCCAGCGGGCGACGCCGAGCGCAGCGACCGGCGGCGCAGGGACGGGGGCGGGGGGGGAGGCCGCCCCGCGCCGCGCGUCCGGCCCCGCCGGAGGCCGCUUGUGAUCCGACCCUGCGGAAAACAAGCCCGGCCUCCCCGCGGCAUCGGGACGGGGCCGGGGGCAUUAGGGAGCGAAGGGCGAAAGCCGCCGGCCGGGACGAGGGGGCCUCAGCGCGGGCAACAGCCGCGCAGCCGCUCCGCCGGCGAGAGCCGGCCGCGCGCAACCGGAUCGCGGCGCGAAGCCCGCGCCCUCGGCUACGCAGAGCACUCCGGGAAGCCGGGCGCCCUCCCUCGCGCCAGCCACCCACCGGACACGCCGCCGGGACAGGCUCCACACCGAGCCCCACUCCCCGCAGCUCCCAGCACUGCACCACCAAGAUGGCGUCCUCCUUCCUUCCCCCCCCAGCAAGCGGGCGAGAAGCCGAACUGCGCCUGCGCGACCCCCUCCCCUUCGACCCCGCGGUUGAACUUGCACGAGUCCUUCCGGGCCCCUCUGGCCGCGCGGCGCGGCGUGGCGCCGAGCGCCACCCUGCGCUCGUGCGCAUGCUCGGAGCGCACGGCACCUCCUCGAACCGCCUCCGGAAGCGGGGCCAGGAACACGCCCGUCGUUACCUGGCUUUCCGCUACGCAUGCGCUAUGUGAUGCCCGGCUGGUUUCAGUACGCAUGCGCUCUGCUCAGGCGGGCGGUUGGCUCGUGCAGGGUUGCGCAGCCUGGGCAGUGCGCAUGCGCCGCUGGGGCGCGCCACGGGACGCAGCUGGCGUGCGGCCUUGCAGGCCCCGCGGAGGAGCCCGGUGUCGUCCGCGCCGCGGUGCUGGGGCAGCGCUGGUUACGCUGCUCGCGAGGGUUAUGGUUGUGUUGCAACGGCCUUCGGUCUCUCGCUUUCUCAGUCCCGGCGCCUACCCGGCUCAGGAAGAGGGGCGGAGGAGAAGCCCCUACGAGGGCCGGUGGGCCCCGGGGCCGAGAGCUGCUGGGAGCCCGCCCGGGCCCGGGCCUGGGCCUGCGGGUGCCUCCGGCACUGGAGAGGGGGUUCUGUACCCUCCGCUUCUGUUCCCAGGCAGUUUCUAA